AACUNUCUGACUUGAGUGCAGAAGGGGAGAGNGGAAUUCCAUGUGUAGCGGUGAAAUGCGUAGAUAUAUGGAGGAACACCAGUGGCGAAAGCGGCUCUCUGGUCUGUCACUGACGCUGAGGCUCGAAAGCGUGGGUAGCGAACAGGAUUAGAUACCCUGGUAGUNCACGCCGUAAACGAUGAGUGCUAGGUGUUAGGCCCUUUCCGGGGCUUAGUGCCGGAGCUAACGCAAUAAGCACUCCGCCUGGGGAGUACGACCGCAAGGUUGAAACUCAAAGGAAUUGACGGGGGCCCGCACAAGCGGUGGAGCAUGUGGUUUAAUUCGAAGCAACGCGAAGAACCUUACCAGGUCUUGACAUCCCGAUGCUAUUCUUAGAGAUAGGAAGUUACUUCGGUACAUCGGAGACAGGUGGUGCAUGGUUGUCGUCAGCUCGUGUCGUGAGAUGUUGGGUUAAGUCCCGCAACGAGCGCAACCCUUAUUGUUAGUUGCCAUCAUUAAGUUGGGCACUCUAGCGAGACUGCCGGUAAUAAACCGGAGGAAGGUGGGGAUGACGUCAAAUCAUCAUGCCCCUUAUGACCUGGGCUACACACGUGCUACAAUGGUCGGUACAACGAGUUGCGAGCCGGUGACGGCAAGCUAAUCUCUGAAAGCCGAUCUCAGUUCGGAUUGGAGGCUGCAACUCGCCUCCAUGAAGUCGGAAUCGCUAGUAAUCGCGGAUCAGCACGCCGCGGUGAAUACGUUCCCGGGCCUUGUACACACCGCCCGUCACACCACGAGAGUUUGUAACACCCGAAGUCGGUGAGGUAACCUUUUAGGGGCCAGC
rnacentral:rRNA from 1 species